rnacentral:rRNA from 1 species
UAGGAAGGCAGCAGUGGGGAAUAUUGCACAAUGGGCGAAAGCCUGAUGCAGCUAUGCCGCGUGUACGAAGAAGGCCUUAGGGUUGUAAAGUACUUUCAUCGGGGAGGAAAAAACAAAACUAAUAAUUUUAUUUCUUGACGUUACCCGAAAAAGAAGCACCGGCUAACUCCGUGCCAGCAGCCGCGGUAAUACGGAGGGUGCUAGCGUUAAUCAGAAUUACUGGGCGUAAAGAGCACGUAGGUGGUUUUUUUAAAGUCAGAUGUGAAAUCCCUGGGCUUAACCUAGGAACUGCAUUUUGAAACUGAAAUACUAGAGUAUCGUAGAGGGAGGUAGAAUUCUAGGUGUAGCGGUGAAAUGCGUAGAUAUCUGGAGGAAUACCUGUGGCGAAAGCGGCCUCCUAAACGAAUACUGACACUGAGGUGCGAAAGCGUGGGGAGCAAACGAGGGAUUAGAUACC